rfam:Medicago truncatula strain A17 chromosome 4, whole genome shotgun sequence.
CAAACAAGUUCUUUUAUUUUUUGAAUCGUUUCAAACAAGUCAUUUUAAAGGAUGAUGAUGAUGAUUCAGAUGAUAGCAACAAAGAGCAUUAUCC